UACGAAGGGGGCUAGCGUUGCUCGGAAUCACUGGGCGUAAAGCGCACGUAGGCGGCUUUCUAAGUCAGGGGUGAAAUCCUGGAGCUCAACUCCAGAACUGCCUUUGAUACUGGAGAGCUUGAGUCCGGAAGAGGUGAGUGGAACUCCGAGUGUAGAGGUGAAAUUCGUAGAUAUUCGCAAGAACACCAGUGGCGAAGGCGGACUCACUGGCCCGGUACUGACGCUGAGGUGCGAAAGCGUGGGGAGACA
rnacentral:rRNA from 1 species